ACCUGAUCCAAGACUGUAUGGGUGUGCAGCCUCCUGUGUCAUGCCCUCUCUUCUCAUGCCCUCCUGCUAUCGCUGAUCCUCCUUAUCCCUCCUCAGAAUCCUGCCCUUAGUUGGCAGAAAUGGCUGCAGAAUCCAGGGUGGUCUUCAGAAUAAAUCCCCCGCAGCUCAACCCGCCUUCCUCUUCCAACGUAACCUCCACAGAAAGUGAGCUCUUUCCCGGAAGUUUUCAUCAGUGACUAUGUCUCUGAAGGAGGAGCAGACUAGAGCCAAGGUCAUCAGUGCCUUAUCGCCAUCCUGGAGGACCACCUCAAGCAAUAUGUCUUCGAGACAACAUCUUGUAAUCUGCAAAGCAUAUCGUAGACAAAUGUAAAAAUAACUUCUAUAGUAUUUUGUUGUAAGCGUUCAAAUUCAGAAACAUUUAUGUUAUUUUAUGUCCCAUGCUAUGGUAGUUUCUUUCUGACUUCCAGAAUCCCCAUUUCCUUGGUCAGGUCAACAGUUUCCUAAAUGAACACUUAUUUUGAGAAUUCAUUAUGGAGACAGUUUAUAGUAUUUUGAGAGUACAAGGCAUCAAGUUUACUUCAUUCACACUAACCGACUGUUCAGGAGGGAUUGUCCCGGGCAAUCCUGCAAAGAUUAAAUAUUUAAAAGUCAGUACAAAGUAUGCAUAUGAAGUCAGAGGUUUGGAUCCAAGAUUAAUCAAAUUAUAUAAUAAAGAACCAUUAACAUGCAGGUCACAACAUUAGAUUUGUCAGCAACUAAUGACUAUCAAAAUGUGAUUCUUAUGACGGGACCUUCAGAUUUCCUUUUCUGUGCCAACCUUUAAAACGGACAGAUUUUCUUAAAUUACAUGUUAGAGAUUAGGAAGAAUAGUAAUUUGAUCUAUAUGUAUGAUUUUGGCUUUGUUACACAUUUUUUAUGUUACAGUUGUACAUAUGAUAAUGAAAUCAGACAUACCUGGCAACUGAAUGACCAGACAGGAGCAACAGGCACCACCAUGUUCUGAUUGUGGCCAUGUCAUCCUAGAAAUACAAUAUUUCAAACAAAGAAGUCAUGUUCUACAAAAACAGUGCACUGUAAUAUGUCUGGAGACUUUCUGGGCACUUACAGUUGUGAAGUCAAAAUCUGUCCCCAGCACAAUGUAAAGAGCAUACUGUAAUAAAACAGUAAACGUAUUGGUCUGUA